UCCCUUUCCUAACUACCAAACAAUCCAGUUUUGUUACUUUCUGCAACUGAGUAUAACAAAUUCAUGUUCACAAUCAAGUCUACCAGGCCUGAAUACAAUGAAAGAGUUUCAAAAACCAAGCAAACAAAGCUUGCCAGAGACAGUGUAAGUGUAACUAAACUAGUCCAAAGAUGUUACUGAGGAAAAGAAGAUGGAAACAAAGUAGAUAUCUCCUUGAGCAGAUCGCUCACUAC
rnacentral:lncRNA from 1 species